UUCAGACUGGCCAAAACCUUCAGUUGCUUUCUGACCCGGCCGACUUUGCUACCGUUGCUGCCUUUCCCUGCCCGCUCUGCAUGGCCCCCCAGUUCGGCACACUCGGUCCCACCGGGAGAGGCACCCCGACCAGAGGUGAAAGCCCUCGGGUGUGUGGGAGGAAGAGCCGCGUCUUGGGCUGCUUCGUAACGCGGUGCUGUCUGGGGUGACGGGUCCUUGUGCCCCAGUGCCGCAGGCGCCCGCCAUCCCUGGGGAGGAGAAGAAACCUGAAGCCCUUCUUGGAUUAUUUUCAUCCUUUUGCCCUUCUGGUCCUGAAGAAAGCAGUAACAGCCCAAACCUUCCCAUCACCCACGCACAGAGGAGAGGAGGGAUUGAGAUACAGAGGAUUAGGUCUGGCCUUUCCAGAAAUGGCCCUUAUUUUUGCAGGUACAAACGUUAAUGGUUAGAGUCAUGCUCCUGCCCAGGAGACAGCUGUACUUCUGCAGGCUUGGGUUUGGAGGAAAAGGAGUGGUAUGCUUUCUGGAGGGUGCAAAAAUAAAAAUAACCCCGCCGUUGGGUUGCUGUGGCCGCUU